rnacentral:rRNA from 1 species
GGCAACGGCCAUACCACGUUGAAAGCACCGGUUCUCGUCCGAUCACCGAAGUCAAGCAACAUUGGGCGCGGUCAGUACUUGGAUGGGUGACCGCUUGGGAACACCGCGUGCCGUUGGCA